CGGCACCAAGUCUGCAAUGUCCUUUCGACUCGGCAGUGUGGACCAGCAACACCUCCCAAGCACCCCCAUCGACUGCUCAGCACGCCGCCGACGACGAAGAAGGCCCCCGCGGCGCUACCUUCGACUGCCCGACCUCAAGGACGACCUAAGUCAUCUGGCAGAAACGUCUGAUAUAGUAUCGAUUCGGCCGGUAACGGUUUCACAUAGGUGUGUCACACGUGUCUACCACGUUUACCGUGUAUGACUCUUUCGUUUCCUCACAGACCCAGGCAACACGUACUUCUUCUUACUCAAGUCUGGACUCAAAGUGUUCCAACACUUGGUGUACAACUACUAGCUGCUCAAACUCCGACGAAGUCCGUCCUCGUGAUAUUUUUCCUACCAUGUUGGUCGGUCAACCAAGAGUUUUGAAACAAGUCUUGUCUCGUCCAUCUCGCACGUACCGAGGGCGCCGUCAGCAACCACUUCGUUCACCAUUCUAUUGCUGCUGCCCACUUCAAAGUCUUCUUUUUUUUUCUGCUGCCCACCGUGACUCGUCGCAUCCCCGCUACAGUGACUCCUGCCGGUACUUCGGCCUCCGCACCUGGUGCUGGCCGCUCCUCCCACUUCUCGUCACCCUAGUUAUGCUCGCACUCCACAACCUCAAACUCCUCCUUCGUACCUUCUGGAGGCGUUUUCCGCCCCUUAGAUCGUGCCAGUUCGACCGCCCACUCCUCUCGAAGCCGCUCGUGCUAGGUCGGCCGCGUCAGUAAUAGUUGCUACAUGGUCGGAAGAACUAUCGCAACCGCCGCGACUUUUCGACCUCCUUAGUCUAUGUCUCCUCUACUCGUCUCCAGACCGAUUCGCUCCCGCUUAACUUGGUAUCUACCUGAAACUACAACCCCUCUAUCGUUGCAACGGUGACUGGUAAAACCUACCGUGCAUGCAACACAUGACUAAACAAAAAGGCUAAUCAACAAAUGACUAAGCACUGUGGGAACACGCACUUUCUUUAAACAACCCUCGUCCGACAAGUUUGAUUUCCUUAGGUUUUAGGGAUCGGAAAACAUUUGACAACAUGUCGGUCUUUGAAUUACCGGGUACCAACUUUACCGCACCUUACAAUUAAACACG
rnacentral:rRNA from 1 species